rnacentral:rRNA from 1 species
ACUCCUACGGGAGGCAGCAGUGGGGAAUAUUGCACAAUGGGCGCAAGCCUGAUGCAGCCAUGCCGCGUGUAUGAAGAAGGCCUUCGGUUGUAAAGUACUUUCAGCAGUGAGGAAGGUGGGUAUGUUAAUAGCAUACUCAUUUGACGUUAGCUGCAGAAGAAGCACCGGCUAACUCCGUGCCAGCAGCCGCGGUAAUACGGAGGGUGCGAGCGUUAAUCGGAAUUACUGGGCGUAAAGCGCAUGCAGGUGGUUUGUUAAGUCAGAUGUGAAAGCCCGGGGCUCAACCUCGGAAUUGCAUUUGAAACUGGCAAACUAGAGUACUGUAGAGGGGGUAGAAUUUCAGGUGUAGCGGUGAAAUGCGUAGAGAUCUGAAGGAAUACCGGUGGCGAAGGCGGCCCCCUGGACAGAUACUGACACUCAGAUGCGAAAGCGUGGGGAGCAAACAGGAUUAGAUACCCUGGUA